AGCAAACAUCUGUGAGGAACAUCUGGAGAACGUGAAGACCCGACAAACAGUUCAGUCUUCGAUGGAGUCCAGGCUGAAUGACAGCAACAGCGCCACCACAGACUUGUUGAGAAGAGUCAGUGUUGGUGAGAAGCAGCUGGACGAGCUGAAGACUCGACUC